AUCAUUCUUCUCUCUUUCUCUCCCCUCAACACCGUAGCACUGCUUCUCGCGACCACGCGAAGAGGGAGGAGGAGGCUAGCGACCACGCCGACAGGGGUGGGGGCGGCACGACACGACGGUGGUGGGGUCGUGCAUCGCGGCGGCGGUCGCCGUUGGCAUCAUGCUCGGCUGCUUGUGCACCUUCCUCUACCCCGAUGGGCUCCUCUCCUGCUGCUCCAACGCCGCCCUCCAUUGGCCUCGCCAGGUAAACCACCUCUGCACCUAUCUCCCCCAUCCCCGCCGGCGGUGGGCGUAGUGGCGCUACAGCAAGAACAGCCGCCGCCGGUGAUGGAGGUGGACUCGCCGGCGACCGGAGAUGAAGAAGAUGGAGGGAAUAUUGAAGCAAAGAAGACACAUCGCCAAGCAAAACGUGCAGCAUGACAGUCAAACAAAAGAUGUUGGAUGGUCUCUUGUGUAUUACAAAAUCAACAUUGCUUGUUUCCCCUCCAUUUUAUCUUCGUGAAGUUAUCUUUCAUCAAGAUUACUUUUUUUUGUCAAGAAACCACAUAAAUACUUUGAUUUUUAGUGGUA